rnacentral:snRNA from 1 species
GGAUGUGAGGGCAAUCCAUCUGUGACAUCUGCCUCCCCACUGAUCACUAGGCAGGGUUGAUUCGCCUGAUCUGACUGGCAAGGUGGCUGCCGCCUUCCUCCCUCACCGCUGCCUGUGCUCCCUCAUGAAGAUGUGCAAGCUGGGUGGAAGAGGAUGACCUUCCAUGAUAGAGGACAGUUCUUCAGUCAAGGAUAUAGGAAUAGCUGGCUCCUCUGCUAGAACCUCCAAAUAAGCUCUCAAAUAGUUUUAGAAUGGUUUUACUUAAAAUGCAUCAAGUUCAAGUCAAGCAUUUCAGCCUAAUCAGCCAUCUAAAUUGAAAGUAGGCAUCUGAUUAAGUGUGACUUGCUUCAAAAUGAAUUGGUGUUU